UCACCCCUCAAGCCCCCGGCUUGGUGUUGGACGGUCUUGGUCUAGGUCCCCCUAGACCCCUCCAAAAGACAAUGACGGCGGGCCGUGUUGCACCCCCGGUACACUGAGCUUCUUAACCGAGCACGUACCGGACUCAGGGUCGACGGCACCCGGUCUUAAACCUAAACUUUUCUCAA
rnacentral:misc_RNA from 1 species